GACGAACGCUGGCGGCGUGCCUAAUACAUGCAAGUCGAGCGCAGGAAACUGACGGAACUCUUCGGAGGGAAGGCAGCGGAAUGAGCGGCGGACGGGUGAGUAACACGUAAGGAACCUGCCUCAAGGAUUGGGAUAACUCCGAGAAAUCGGAGCUAAUACCGGAUAGUUCAACGGACCGCAUGGUCCGCUGAUGAAAGGCGCUUCGGCGUCACCUUGAGAUGGCCUUGCGGUGACUGAGCUAGUUGGUGGGGUAACGGCCCACCAAGGCGACGGUGCAUAGCCGACCUGAGAGGGUGAUCGGCCACACUGGGACUGAGACACGGCCCAGACUCCUACGGGAGGCAGCAGUAGGGAAUCUUCCACAAUGGACGAAAGUCUGAUGGAGCAACGCCGCGUGAGUGAUGAAGGUUUUCGGAUCGUAAAACUCUGUUGUAAGGGAAGAACACGUACGAGAGGAAAUGCUCGUACCUUGACGGUACCUUACGAGAAAGCCACGGCUAACUACGUGCCAGCCGCCGCCGUAA
rnacentral:rRNA from 1 species